rnacentral:misc_RNA from 1 species
GAUGAAGAACGUAGUGAAAUGCGAUACUUGGUGUGAAUUGCAGAAUCCCGUGAACCAUCGAGUCUUUGAACACAAGUUGCGCCCGAAGCCAUUAGGCCGAGGGCACGCCUGCCUGGGCGUCACACGUCGUUGCCCCCCCAUCUACUCCUUCGGGAUUGCGGGGGGCGGAUGAUGGCCUCCCGUGCGCCUCGUCGCGCGGUUGGCAUAAAUGCCAAGUCCUCGGCGACGCACGCCACGACAAUCGGUGGUUGCGAAACCUCGGUUGCCCGUCGUGUGCGGUCGUCGCGCAUCGAGGGCUCGAAAAAAUUGUCGGGCUCCGGCUCGGCUUUCAACGCGACCCCAGGUCAGGCGGGGUUACCCGCUGAAUUUAAGCAUAUCAAUAAGCGGAGGA